GAGGUGGGUGGAGUUCCUUGUUCAGAUGAAUGAGGGAGCUCAGUGACUCAGAGAGAACCUGUAGUCUGUGAGCACAAGUUGUCUGGGCACAAGGCUGACCCCCUUCAGAGCUGGAGAGAAGACAUCCCAGCAAGUGGACAGGGGCCAUGGAGAGGAACCUGGGAGCUGUGCUGGGGAUUCUGUGGGUGCAGAUUUGCUGGGUGAGAGGAAAUAAUGUGGAGCAGAGUCCAUCAUUCUUGAGUCUCCAUGAGGGAACCAAUUCUUCUCUGAGAUGCAAUUUUUCUAUUGCCAUGACAACUGUGCAGUGGUUCCGACAGGAUCCCAGGGGCAGCCUCAUCAAUCUGUUCUUCCUGGCUCCAGGAACAAAGGAGAACGGGAGGUUAAAGUCAACAUUCGAUGCUAAGGAGCGCUACAGCACCCUGCACAUCAGUGAUGCCCAGCUGGAGGACUCAGGCACCUACUUCUGUGCUGCUUAUGCACAGUGCUCUCAGAAAGCUUAA